rnacentral:rRNA from 1 species
GAUGAACGCUGGCGGCGUGCCUAAUACAUGCAAGUCGAGCGAAUGGAUUAAGAGCUUGCUCUUAUGAAGUUAGCGGCGGACGGGUGAGUAACACGUGGGUAACCUGCCCAUAAGACUGGGAUAACUCCGGGAAACCGGGGCUAAUACCGGAUAAUAUUUUGAACUGCAUGGUUCAAAAUUGAAAGGCGGCUUCGGCUGUCACUUAUGGAUGGACCCGCGUCGCAUUAGCUAGUUGGUGAGGUAACGGCGCACCAAGGCAACGAUGCGUAGCCGACCUGAAAGGGUGACCGGCCACACUGGGACUGAGACACGGCCCAGACUGCUACGGGAGGCAGCAGUGGGGAAUCUUCCGCAAUGGACGAAAGUCUGACGGAGCAACGCCGCGUGAGUGAUGAAGGCUUUCGGGUCGUAAAACUCUGUUGUUAGGGAAGAACAAGUGCUAGUUGAAUAAGCUGGCACCUUGACGGUACCUAACCAGAAAGCCACGGCUAACUACGUGCCAGCCGCCGCCGUAA